CUCGUAGGUGGCCAACUAAGUCAGACGUGAAAUCCCUCGGCUUAACCGGGGAACUGCGUCUGAUACUGGAUGGCUUGAGUUUGGGAGAGGGACGCGGAAUUCCAGGUGUAGCGGUGAAAUGCGUAGAUAUCUGGAGGAACACCGGUGGCGAAGGCGGCGUCCUGGCCAACACUGACACUGAGGAGCGAAAGCCAGGGGAGCAAACGG
rnacentral:rRNA from 1 species